rnacentral:tRNA from 1 species
GCCGAAGUGGUGGAAUUGGUAGACACGCAUGUUUGAGGGGCAUGUGGGUUUUCCCGUGGGGGUUCAAAUCCCCCCUUCGGCACCA